ACAUAAUUUCAUGUAAUUUAUGCUGGUAAUUCGUUUAUAAACUGAGGUUUCCAUUUUUAAUUUGUAGGGUGGAAUUUCCAAUAUUCUGGAAGAAUUGGUGGUCCAACCUCUGUUGGUUUCCAUCAGUGCUCUGACCCUAGCGACAGAAACAGUCCGCAGUAUUCUUAAGAUUGAUGAUGUGGUGAAUACUCGAUGAGAUGACUAAAGAAACAGACAGUGCAGCUCAGCACAGUGUCGCAAGUUUGGAAUGCAGCUCCUUCACUGGACAUCUGCAUAACUCCCAGUUACAUUUCAUUUAUACUUGUCAACUUAAAUUAAUAAAACCUUAAAUUCUCAAGGCA